GUAGUCAUAUGCUUGUCUCAAAGAUUAAGCCAUGCAUGUCUAAGUAUAAGCAAUUAUACAGCGAAACUGCGAAUGGCUCAUUAUAUAAGUUAUCGUUUAUUUGAUAGUACCUUACUACUUGGAUAACCGUGGUAAUUCUAGAGCUAAUACAUGCUAAAAAUCCCGACUUCGGAAGGGAUGUAUUUAUUAGAUACAAAACCAAUGCCCCUCGGGGCUCUCUGGUGAUUCAUGAUAACUCGUCGAAUCGCACGGCCUUGCGCCGGCGAUGGUUCAUUCAAAUUUCUUCCCUAUCAACUUUCGAUGUUUGGGUAGUGGCCAAACAUGGUGGCAACGGGUAACGGAGGGUUAGGGCUCGACCCCGGAGAAGGAGCCUGAGAAACGGCUACUACAUCCAAGGAAGGCAGCAGGCGCGCAAAUUACCCAAUCCCGAUACGGGGAGGUAGUGACAAUAAAUACUGAUACAGGGCUCUUUUGGGUCUUGUAAUUGGAAUGAGUACAAUUUAAAUCCCUUAACGAGGAACAAUUGGAGGGCAAGUCUGGUGCCAGCAGCCGCGGUAAUUCCAGCUCCAAUAGCGUAUAUUAAAGUUGUUGUGGUUAAAAAGCUCGUAGUUGAAUCUUGGGCCUGGCUGGCCGGUCCGCCUCACCGCGUGUACUGGUCCGGCCGGGUCUUUCACUCUGCGGAACCACAUGCCCUUCAGUGGGUGUGGCGGGGAAGCAGGACGUUUACUUUGAAAAAAUUAGAGUGCUCUAAGCAGGCCAAUGCUCGGAUACAUUAGCAUGGAAUAAUAAAAUAGGACGCGCGGUUCUAUUUUGUUGGUUUCUAGGACCGCCGUAAUGAUGAAUAGGGACAGUCGGGGGCAUCAGUAUUCAGUUGUCAGAGGUGAAAUUCUUGGAUCUACUGAAGACUAACUACUGCGAAAGCAUUUGCCAAGGAUGUUUUCAUUAAUCAGGAACGAAAGUUAGGGGAUCGAAGACGAUCAGAUACCGUCGUAGUCUUAACCAUAAACUAUGCCGACUAGGGAUCGGACGAUGUUAUUUAGUUGACUCGUUCGGCACCUUACGAGAAAUCAAAGUGCUUGGGCUCCAGGGGGAGUAUGGUCGCAAGGCUGAAACUUAAAGAAAUUGACGGAAGGGCACCACCAGGGGUUAACGUAAACUGUAAGCCGCAGUCAACUCUGCCCCUAAAAGCUGCCCGAUAAAAAGGGUCGGUGGUGUGCCUAAACUAAGAGCUAUGUCCCUGUGCUGUGGUCCCUCGGGGGGAGCACGGGGGCGACACCCUCAAACUGACGGGGAACCCCUAAAGCCAUCCGCUCCGGCCUCCGCUUAGGAAACUCUGCGAGAGGCACCAGGUUAACGGCCUGGGUAUCGGAACAAAUUCGCGGUGGAUGUUACAAUGGGCAAUCCGCAGCCAAGCCCCUAAGUGCACUGCAAUUGCGGCGCAUACGGGGAAGGUUCAGAGACUUGACGGGGGUGGGUGGGUGCGCACGUCCGCUGCACGGCGGGCGUGUUAUUCAAAGCGUUAUGCCCGCUUAAGAUAAAGUCCCGGAGGGGCGCUGAAAGGUGCUCCCUCCACAGCUUGUUCGCACUGAACAGGCCCUGUAAAUUAAACGGGAGCCUGCGGCUUAAUUUGACUCAACACGGGGAAACUCACCAGGUCCAGACACAAUGAGGAUUGACAGAUUGAGAGCUCUUUCUUGAUUUUGUGGGUGGUGGUGCAUGGCCGUUCUUAGUUGGUGGAGUGAUUUGUCUGCUUAAUUGCGAUAACGAACGAGACCUUAACCUGCUAAAUAGUCAGUAUUGCUAUGGCAGUACGCGGGCUUCUUAGAGGGACUAUCGGCUCAAGCCGAUGGAAGUUUGAGGCAAUAACAGGUUGACCUACACAGGCCUGUAACAGUGGUCCUCAAGUAUAAAAAAAAUCCGCUAGUCCAGUAACUUAACCUCCGUAGGGGAAGUCCCCUUUUAUCGGGCGGGGGAGCAUGCGGGGGAUUAAACCCCCCCGCCUCUGCUUGUUUCGGGCAACACCACCUGGUACAGGGAACGCCUAACGGCCGAUCCUGUGGCGAGCUCGGGUAACGCCGAGCCGUCGCAACGCGCGCUAAGGGGUGGGCUAAGCCUCCGGGCUGGCUUAAGGUACGUGCUAAUCCCAUGGGAUAAAAACCAUGCCGACAUACAGAGCCCCGAUAAGGCGAAGUAUGCCGGGGCGCCCCCGGGCGCUGGUAUCGCAGGCGGCUCCGAGUCGCCUGUGAGAAAUGCUGUGAUGCCCUUAGAUGUUCUGGGCCGCACGCGCGCUACACUGACGGAGCCAGCGAGUAAUUCCUUGGCCGGAAGGCCCGGGUAAUCUUGUUAAACUCCGUCGUGCUGGGGAUAGAGCAUUGCAAUUAUUGCUCUUCAACGAGGAAUCCCUAGUAAGCGCAAGUCAUCAGCUUGCGUUGAUUACGUCCCUGCCCUUUGUACACACCGCCCGUCGCUACUACCGAUUGAAUGGCUCAGUGAGGCGUCCGGACUGGCCCAGGGAGGUGGGCAACUACCACCCAGGGCCGGAAAGCUCUCCAAACUCGGUCAUUUAGAGGAAGUAAAAGUCGUAACA
rnacentral:sRNA from 1 species